UACAGAGGGUGCAAGCGUUAAUCGGAAUUACUGGGCGUAAAGCGCGCGUAGGCGGCUCGAUAAGUCGAGUGUGAAAUCCCCGGGCUUAACCUGGGACCUGCAUUCGAAACUGUCUUGCUAGAGUAUGGGAGAGGGAAGUGGAAUUUCAGGUGUAGCGGUGAAAUGCGUAGAUAUCUGAAGGAACAUCAGAGGCGAAAGCGACUUCCUGGACCAAUACUGACGCUCAGGUGCGAAAGCGUGGGGAG
rnacentral:rRNA from 1 species